AGCAGCCGCGGUAAUUCCAGCUCCAAUAGCGUAUAUUAAAGUUGUUGCAGUUAAAAAGACUCGUAGUUGAAUUUCGGGAUCAAGGAAUCGGUCAUGCCUUGGUAUGUACUGGUUUUAUUGGUUCUCACCUUCUAAAGAACCAUAAUGUCAUUUAUUUGAUGUUAUGGGGAAUUAGGACUGUUACCUUGAAAAAAUUAGAGUGUUUAAAGCAAGCUUACGCUUGAAUACAUUAGCAUGGAAUAAUGAAAUAGGACAUCAGAUUCUAUUUUGUUGGUUUCUAGGAUCGAUGUAAUGAUUAAUAGGGAUAGUUGGGGGCAUUAGUAUUCAAUUGUCAGAGGUGAAAUUCUUGGAUUUAUUGAAGACUAACUACUGCGAAAGCAUUUGCCAAGGAUGUUUUCAUUAAUCAAGAACGAAAGUUAGGGGAUCGAAGACGAUCAGAUACCGUCGUAGUCUUAACCAUAAACCUAUGCCGACUAGGGAUCGGAUGAUGUAAUUUUUAAUGA
rnacentral:rRNA from 1 species